CGAGAAAAUAUCUCCCCUUCCCACCGCCCCCAAGGCUGUUUCGGUUUAGCUCGUGAGAAGAAGCGAAGAGGGGCCCGGCACCGCCCGCGAGCAGCGAGAGGAGGGCCCAAGGUGCGCCCGUCCCCCCGUCCCUCCCCUCCGGCUGGGUAAAGCCCGGGCGGGUCCGGUGGUUUUCGUUGCUACGACCACCUCCAGCGGGAUUCAGCGGAGGCCGUCGAGGAGCGCGUGACGCACCUCCUUCCCCCCUCUCUCUCUCCUUCCUUCCCUCCCUCCCUCCGCUCUCUUCUCCCGGAGAACAAAAGAAGAAUUCUUUGCACAGCAGGCUGUAUUGUGACUUCACAUAACAACUAGAGUUGCCCAGGAUUCAGGGAUUUGCAUGAUUGUACUUGUCAUAACCGGGUGUAUAGCUGCUUCAUAAAAUCUCUGAUUGUGGAAUGGAGCUCAGAAGGAAAACUCUGCAGUAACAUAAGAGGUUCAACAGGAUAUCUAGAUUGGUGUUAAGAAAUUCUUCCUUAAUAUAAUGACAGUCAUUUUUGCCUGUCCAGCAACAGAAAACAUCUCAAGGAUCAGACACCAAAAGUAUCUCAAACCCACUUGAGAACCAGUGACCCAUAUGAACUAAAGCAAUUGGAAAACCAAUUCCAAUUUCUCAGAAUGGAUUUGGAAUUGCAGAAGGGGAAAAAUAUUUUAAAGUGGAAGUGGAGAGAGAGGAGGACAGAAUUGGAGUAUGAGGAACAAUUUCAAAGUUUGGAAUUGGAGAGAAUGAUGGAAUGAUGCUUAUCAGUUAAGUAAACAGAGGAACACCAAUCCAACAUUUCCCACUGCUGCUCCUACGGAAAACUGGCAAGUUUCCAAGGUGAAAUUAAAGCAGCUGAAGAAAGGAAGCCUGCUGUACAAGAGUAAAAAUAGAUCCGGCAGUUACUCAGCUCCUGAGAACAUCAUGGUAUGACUCAUGAGGUAGAAUAAAGAGAUGUGAAAAUCAAAAGCUGUUGCAUUCCCCCCCAAGCAUUACACACAUAUCCCCCCUCGCUUUUCCUCCUACCUGGAGAGGUUUGUGGCACCUCAAGUCUAAAAAAAACCCAAAGGAAAAUAAAUUGUUGAAGUUCCAGGUAAAAGCAACUGGGUUGGAAACCCCUAAAAUCUAUCCAUCGCCAGGCCUGGAAGCCAUCUUUUGCGUUGGGCCUUUAGGCCUGCCACAUUUAUUGCUGUGGGAAACUGGGAGGGGG